rnacentral:rRNA from 1 species
GAUGAACGCUGGCGGCGUGCCUAAUACAUGCAAGUCGAGCGAACAGACGAGGAGCUUGCUCCUCUGACGUUAGCGGCGGACGGGUGAGUAACACGUGGAUAACCUACCUAUAAGACUGGGAUAACUUCGGGAAACCGGAGCUAAUACCGGAUAAUAUAUUGAACCGCAUGGUUCAAUAGUGAAAGACGGUUUUGCUGCCACUUAUAGAUGGAUCCGCGCCGCAUUAGCUAGUUGGUAAGGUAACGGCUUACCAAGGCAACGAUGCGAAGCCGACCUGAGAGGGUGAUCGGCCACACUGGAACUGAGACACGGUCCAGACUCCUACGGGAGGCAGCAGUAGGGAAUCUUCCGCAAUGGGCGAAAGCCUGACGGAGCAACGCCGCGUGAGUGAUGAAGGUCUUCGGAUCGUAAAACUCUGUUAUUAGGGAAGAACAAAUGUGUAAGUAACUAUGCACGUCUUGACGGUACCUAAUCAGAAAGCCACGGCUAACUGCGUG